rnacentral:misc_RNA from 1 species
GAUGAAGAACGCAGCGAAAUGCGAUAAGUAAUGUGAAUUGCAUAAUUCAGUGAAUCAUCGAAUCUUUGAACGCACAUUGCGCCCCCCGGCAUUCCGGGGAGCAUGCCUGUUCGAGCGUCUCUUGGAAUACCCCUCACGCCGGCGGAGGCGUGGUCAUGGCGGCGGUGGCGUGCCCCGAGAGGGAGGCCACCGCGCUGGAAUCCAUGGGCGGACGCCUGCCGCGUGGCCGAGCGUGAUAAGACGCACGGGCGCUCGCGCGCGGCGAGGCUGCCGGCCCUGGCCCGCUCGUCGGGCGGGGACAGCAACACUUGGGAACUCCUCGAAUCAGGUAGGGAUACCCGCUGAACUUAAGCAUAUCAAUAAGCGGAGGA